GAAAUGCGAUACGUGGUGUGAAUUGCAGAAUCCCGUGAACCAUCGAAUCUUUGAACGCAAGUUGCGCCCGAGGCCACUAGGCCGAGGGCACGCCUGCCUGGGCGUCACGC
rnacentral:rRNA from 1 species